GUCUACGGUCAUGCCUGAUAUCGUCUGAUCUCAGAAGCUAAGCAGGAUCGGGCCUGGUUAGUACUUGGAUGGGUAAAAACACAGACAGAGACAGAAGGAGAGAGAAAGACACCACAGUAC
rnacentral:rRNA from 1 species